rnacentral:rRNA from 1 species
GUGCCAGCAGCCGCGGUAAGACGAACCGUGCGAACGUUGUUCGGAAUCACUGGGCUUAAAGGGCGCGUAGGCGGCUUGCCAAGUCCGGGGUGAAAGCCUCCAGCUUAACUGGAGAAGUGCCUUGGAUACUGGCGAGCUCGAGCGAGGUAGGGGCAGAUGGAACUUCCGGUGGAGCGGUGAAAUGCGUUGAUAUCGGAAGGAACGCCGGUGGCGAAAGCGAUCUGCUGGACCUCUUCUGACGCUGAGGCGCGAAAGCUAGGGUAGCGAACGGGAUUAGAUACCCCUGUAGUCC